GAAACUGUCUGAAAAUGAGAGUGAAGAAAACUGGCCUGCUUCUAUAAUUUCAACAGAAAGCACCCCAGGUAAACAAAAUGGCACACUUGUGCAAUCAGCAAUGAAGAAUUCUCCCUACUUAAAUGGCUGAAGUGAGACAAGUGGAGAGAGAAAGUACGGCUUUCUGUGAGAGCUGGGGAAAAAAUCACAACGUAAUUCCCCACGGCCUCCAGUUGCCUCAUGACCACGCUCCUAUCCUGCCCUGACCCUGUGCUGACGGACUCCUGAGAGCCUGCAGGGGCAGAGUGCUGCAUCACCCCAUUGCCACCUCUUUCCAAUGGGCAUCUGUCCACAUCAGUGGCUGCAGGAGAACCAUCAGCAAUCCUGGAGCAGCUCUUUGAGUUCCCCAGGCUGUGCUGCCAGGGAGUUUCAGCUUCUGGGAAAGGCCUCAGCAAGGAAAAGCUUUCAGCAUUCUCAAAGUCAUCUAAUUGUUCAGGACAUACUGAGUAUCUGCACUUAGAGAAAUCAUGUUCAGGUGGAGCUCCCUUGAAGGCAAGGCACCGGGAAGCCAAGAUGAGUUUUCAGAAAGUCCUGCUCCUGGUGAUUAAGACCAGAUCUUCGUGUGGAUGCUGCUGGAAAAGGCUGAGGCCGUGUUGGCCACCAGGAUGAGCACUCAUCAUCCUGCAGUAUCUGCCGGUCUAAUUGUGGGUUGCUUGUCAAAAAGAGAGAUAAGGAGGGCAGGUUGUAAGUACUGAGGUGUGCUUUCUUCCUUCCAUUCCUCCUUUGGCAGGAGGGAAGUCCUGAACAAGGCACGUGGAGCCUCUCCUCCCCUCUCUGCAUGCUUCAUCAGCAGGAAUUAAUUACCAGCUCUCCAGGUCACGCCAGCCAUCUGCCCCAUCAGCACUGGCCAAGACGCAAUGGAAGGGCAUGUAUGAGCUUCGGGGUUUUAACUGGAGCUGGGAGAGGGAGAAAAAAAGGAAUUUUUUUGCUGGUUGGCUUGAGUGUGGCCAUGGGUUUGUAGAGCCUGAAGGCUGAUUGCUGACCAUGCAUGCUGCAGCUCAGCACAGAGUGUGCCAACGGCUGAGACUUAUGUGACGACUGUCACCCAGCACAAGGAGCGAGCUGCCGAGCCAGGCCUUCUGUUUGGCAAAGCCCGACGACGCUGCUGAAUUAAAGACAUAAUUGGGGUUUUGGCAAAAUUGCAACACAGCUGCCCAAGGUCAUCUCCAGUGAAAGUAGCUGAGGAGGUUUACACAGAAGAUGUUAAUUGGAUUUUCGUUUUCUCUUUAGAAAGGUUCAGAGCUAUCGGAUCUCACCACACUACAUGCUGCAUGAAUAUGUCCAAUGAUAUUGUGAGCUGUGUUCAAUCUUAACGGCUUUCCAUCUCCGUAACAACGGUAUUAGCAUUAAUAUUGUGCCCAGGGCUCUGAGUGUGGAUACUAAUGGAGCUCAAUCAGCUCUAAAAGAACAAAGGAUCUCUUUUAUAUCGCACCCUGUGACAGUCAGAGGAUUGGAUUAGCAACUUGUCAGUCCUUUGUUUUGCAGCUUUUUUUGAUGCUUUCUGAAAUACUUGGAUAGUACGUAGAAUUGUUUUAUCUGAAAAAUUAAUACAAAACAAUAAG
ensembl:lncRNA